rnacentral:lncRNA from 1 species
CUUAUUGGUGCCCUGUCCCAAUUUUCCAUAAUUGGGAUGGUCACGGGGAUAGAGGAAGGUAGAAGGAAGACUGGAGACUUGCCUGAUGUUCCUGUGCGUGCCAAGUCUAUCUUAUAAUUAAGGAGAUAAUGCCCAGAUAACAAACCAAGGCUCAGAGAGGUGAAGCGGCUACCCAAGGCCACACAGCUGGUAAGUGGCAAAGAUCCCUCCUAGGCUUGCCUGAUGCCAACCCAGGGGCCCUGGCAUUUGACCAGCGGGAGAGGCAGCUUGGUAAGGGGGAAGGAGCGUGCCCUGGGCGAGUGGAGCCAGGUUUGAAUGCUGCCCUACCUCCGCC